rnacentral:rRNA from 1 species
GAUGAACGCUGGCGGCGUGCCUAAUACAUGCAAGUCGAGCGAACAGAUGAGGAUCUUGCUCCUCUGACGUUAGCGGCGGACGGGUGAGUAACACGUGGAUAACCUACCUAUAAGACUGGGAUAACUUCGGGAAACCGGAGCUAAUACCGGAUAAUAUAUUGAACCGCAUGGUUCAAUAGUGAAAGACGGUUUUGCUGUCACUUAUAGAUGGAUCCGCGCCGCAUUAGCUAGUUGGUAAGGUAACGGCUUACCAAGGCAACGAUGCGUAGCCGACCUGAGAGGGUGAUCGGCCACACUGGAACUGAGACACGGUCCAGACUCCUACGGGAGGCAGCAGUAGGGAAUCGUCCGCAAUGGGCGAAAGCCUGACGGAGCAACGCCGCGUGAGUGAUGAAGGUCUUCGGAUCGUAAAACUCUGUUAUUAGGGAAGAACAAAUGUGUAAGUAACUAUGCACGUCUUGACGGUACCUAAUCAGAAAGCCACGGCUAACUACGUG